rnacentral:rRNA from 1 species
GUUUGAUCCUGGCUCAGAGCGAACGCUGGCGGCAGGCCUAAUACAUGCAAGUCGAGCGGUUCCUUCGGGAACAGCGGCGGACGGGUGAGUAACGCGUGGGAACGUGCCCUUUGGUACGGAACAACUGAGGGAAACUUCAGCUAAUACCGUAUGUGCCCCCCUUCUUAGCGGGAGGGGUGGGAAAGAUUUAUCGCCAUUGGAGCGGCCCGCGUUGGAUUAGGUAGUUGGUGAGGUAAAGGCUCACCAAGCCUACGAUCCAUAGCUGGUCUGAGAGGAUGAUCAGCCACACUGGGACUGAGACACGGCCCAGACUCCUACGGGAGGCAGCAGUAGGGAAUCUUGCGCAAUGGGCGAAAGCCUGACGCAGCCAUGCCGCGUGAAUGAUGAAGGUCUUAGGAUUGUAAAAUUCUUUCACCGGGGACGAUAAUGACGGUACCCGGAGAAGAAGCCCCGGCUAACUUCGUGCCAGCAGCCGCGGUAAUACGAAGGGGGCUAGCGUUGCUCGGAAUUACUGGGCGUAAAGGGAGCGUAGGCGGAUAGUUUAGUCAGAGGUGAAAGCCCAGGGCUCAACCUUGGAAUUGCCUUUGAUACUGGCUAUCUUGAGUAUGGAAGAGGUAUGUGGAACUCCGAGUGUAGAGGUGAAAUUCGUAGAUAUUCGGAAGAACACCAGUGGCGAAGGCGACAUACUGGUCCAUUACUGACGCUGAGGCUCGAAAGCGUGGGGAGCAAACAGGAUUAGAUACCCUGGUAGUCCACGCCGUAAACGAUGAGUGCUAGUUGUCGGCAUGCAUGCAUGUCGGUGACGCAGCUAACGCAUUAAGCACUCGCCUGGGGAGUACGGUCGCAGAUUAAACUCAAGGAUGACGGGGCCCGCACAGCGUGAGCAUGUGUUUAUCGAGCACGCGCAGAUCUACACUUUGACUUGCCGACACAGAAAGAUCUGCUUCCUCGGACUGGACCAGUGCUGCAUGCUGUCGUCAGCUCUGUCUGGAAUGUUGGUUAGUCCGCACAGCCAUCGCAUAUUGCUACAAGGACCUAUGAUUGCGUCACGGCAAGGGGGUGAACACUAAGCCUUGCCUAUGGGAGAGCUUCA